CCUCAUAUCUCCUUUCCUCUUCUCUCAUGGCUGUUUUGAAAAAAAAAAGAAAAUACAGACAACAAAACAACGUUCCUCUCCUCUUUCGAUAUCUCUCGUUCUCUCCAACGAAACGAAAAUAACAACAGCAAGAAAAAUUCUCUCCCGAUUUCUCUGUCUCUCUCGCGAGGUUGCUCGGAACAGCAAACAACAACAGCGAUUCUCUCUUUCUCUUGGUCUCUCUCAUGAUCGCUCUCUGCUAUCUGUUCUCUCUCGGAACAACAACAACCGGAACUCUCCAUUUUCGCUCAUGAUUCCUUCUCUCUCGAACAACAACAGCAAGCUAUCUCUCGGUUUCUAUCUCUCGCGAAACCACAACAACGGCAAAGUUCUCUCACCGAACAGGAGAAAGAACAAAUUCCAUUUCCUCAUUCUCCUUUGUUGAAACAAAUCCAUGGCUCGGCCUCCUUGCUCUCACGGACAACAACCAGCGGCCAUGGAGGAGCUUCAGAAGCUCUCGGUUUUUUUCUCUCGGUGAGCAACAGGACAACGAGAGUCAUCCUCUCUCUCACGAUGACUACAACAAAAAUCGACAUCUCUUCCUUGCUGUGAACAACAAACAAUCUCUCUCGGUUGCUCGCGUAAUAACAACGCUCAGUUAGGCUCUCUUCCUGUUUCGAUUUUGCCCGCGGUGAACAAAAGCUUCUGGCCUCUUUGAUUGAAGACAAACUCAAGAUAUAACAAUAAUUAGCAGAGGUUAAGAAUGAAGGCAGGAUCGACUUACCUAUGGCGAGGAGGAUUUCGCCGGUUAUGCUGAGGCUCUCUUUUGAUGAAGAUGAUGCAACAAAACCUCUUUUUGGAUAUUAGGGAGACUUGAAGAUGCAACUUCAAGUUGUUGCUCUCCACUAAGGUAUGAACUAUUUCUUCACCCCUUUUCCAACUAUGGAACUAAGAAACUUUGAAAAUUAUGAGAGAAAAGGGAGGAGUGAAAAAAAGCAAGUAGUUAAGGUUGCUUUGGUGUCAUUAACUUGGAAGAAAACACUUCUAUUUAUAGGAAAAACUUAGGGAUAUGUUAGGAAUUAAGAAGCUUGAUUGGGAGGUUAUUGUCAUCUCAAGAAUGAGAAUAAGAAUAAGAAUAUAUUCUUCAUCAUUGCAAGAUAAGAAUAGGAAUAAGAAUAUUCUUAUGCAAAGAUAUUUUUCAUGAUAUAAGCCAUGUGUGUAAAUUUUUAUGUCAUUUUAUGAUAUCUCUAAGUUGCAUAAUUUUAUGACAUAAAAUCUCUCUUUGACACUCUUUGACUUUUGCUAAUCUCACCCCUCUUUUUGUUUCUUUUUUUCAUGUGACAUGAGUAUUCUUUGAAGAAAGAAUGAAGAAACUUGAAUUCCAAGAAUGGAGAUUUGAAGAUUGAAGAAAGUCUUCAAGAAUGUCUUUGUAGUUUUUUUUUCCUUUUUCUUGUAAUUCCAACUUUGUAUGAAUGAAACUUUGUAUUCUUGCAAAUGAAUGGAAUUUUGUAAUUCUUGAAUUUUGGAUAAA